rnacentral:rRNA from 1 species
UACGUAGGGGGCAAGCGUUGUCCGGAAUCAUUGGGCGUAAAGCGCGCGUAGGCGGCCCUGUAAGUCCGUUGUGAAAGUCAAAGGCUCAACCUUUGAAAGCCGGUGGAUACUGCAGGGCUCGAGUUCGGAAGAGGCGAGUGGAAUUCCUGGUGUAGCGGUGGAAUGCGCAGAUAUCAGGAGGAACACCAAUAGCGAAGGCAGCUCGCUGGGACGAUACUGACGCUAAGGCGCGAAAGCGUGGGGAGCGAACAGG